CAGCAGCCACGGGAAUACGUAGGUGGCAAGCGUUGUCCGGAAUUAUUGGGCGUAAAGGGCUCGCAGGCGGUUUCUUAAGUCUGAUGUGAAAGCCCCCGGCUCAACCGGGGAGGGUCAUUGGAAACUGGGAGACUUGAGUGCAGAAGAGGAGAGUGGAAUUCCACGUGUAGCGGUGAAAUGCGUAGAGAUGUGGAGGAACACCAGUGGCGAAGGCGACUCUCUGGUCUGUAACUGACGCUGAGGAGCGAAAGCGUGGGGAGUGAACAGGAUUAGAUACCCCAGUAGUCCCUGUCUCUUAUAC
rnacentral:rRNA from 1 species